GGCCUUAUGGUCUAGUAGUAUGAUUCCUCGUUUGGGAGAUUGAUCUAGUCAGUCAAAAAUUCGAGGAGGUCCUGGGUUCAACUCCCAGUGAGGCCC